rnacentral:rRNA from 1 species
UACGUAGGGCGCAAGCGUUAUCCGGAAUUAUUGGGCGUAAAGAGCUCGUAGGCGGUUUGUCGCGUCUGCCGUGAAAGUCCGGGGCUCAACUCCGGAUCUGCGGUGGGUACGGGCAGACUAGAGUGAUGUAGGGGAGACUGGAAUUCCUGGUGUAGCGGUGAAAUGCGCAGAUAUCAGGAGGAACACCGAUGGCGAAGGCAGGUCUCUGGGCAUCUGCUGACGCUGAUGUGCGAGAGCGUGGGGAGCGAACCGG